UGGGGAAUUUUGGACAAUGGGCGAAAGCCUGAUCCAGCAAUGCCGCGUGUGUGAAGAAGGCCUUCGGGUUGUAAAGCACUUUUGUCCGGAAAGAAAUCCUUGGCUCUAAUACAGUCGGGGGAUGACGGUACCGGAAGAAUAAGUACCGGCUAACUACGUGCCAGCAGCCGCGGUAAUACGUAGGGUGCAAGCGUUAAUCGGAAUUACUGGGCGUAAAGCGUGCGCAGGCGGUUUGCUAAGACCGAUGUGAAAUCCCCGGGCUCAACCUGGGAACUGCAUUGGUGACUGGCAGGCUAGAGUAUGGCAGAGGGGGGUAGAAUUCCACGUGUAGCAGUGAAAUGCGUAGAGAUGUGGAGGAAUACCGAUGGCGAAGGCAGCCCCCUGGGCCAAUACUGACGCUCAUGCACGAAAGCGUGGGGAGCAAAC
rnacentral:rRNA from 1 species